rnacentral:misc_RNA from 1 species
CAGAGUUGCAAGACUCCCUAAACCAUUGUGAACCUACCUUCUACCGUUGCUUCGGCGGGCGGGCCCAGCGCCCCCCCGGCCCCCCGCGGGCGCCCGCCGGAGGAUACCCAAACUCUUAACAUUAGUGGCCUCUCUGAGUAUUCUUUACUGAAUAAGUCA